CCGGGGUCAUCUGCACUGCACGAACCACGCCCGCUGCCUACCGCCCACGUCGAACCCCCCACCGCCCGUCACCCAUCGCCCGCCGCGCAUGGCGCAUCUCCCCUCCCCUCUCCUCACAACGGCGCGCUUGAUCGCCGGGGGCCCGUUGAAUGCGGCGAGCUCCCGCUCGGGUCAGACGCCGUGGGCCUGCUGGUUGUUGACAAGGCGGAAGAGGCCCCAGCUGCGGACGGCAACGACAGCGAGGGGGCUCUGGGAGGGACCGAGGGAGAGGUCGACGACGGGGAGGAGACGUUUCGCCCGUGCGGGCCUUGUCGAAGGCCUGGAGGAGCGCGGCGCGGUCGGACUAGGGCGCCGGAGGAGAGGGGGACACCAUUACGGCGGCUCCCCCGCCGCGCUGGUGACUCAUCGGCGGCUCCCACAACGGUGCGUCUCUCUCGAUGGCGGCCGCUCCCACGGCGGCGCUGCUCUCGGCCAUCCGCGACGGCGAGCAGCGCGGCCGCUCCAGCGCUGCCGCCCCGUCCCCGUCCCGAGCUGCUACCGCCCCGAGCUGCCUACGCCAACCUAGCCACGCUGCGAGCGGCCCCUGCCGUGCGACACCAGGCCGAGAAGAAGUUGUGCCACAGCAAGAUGGAGGCGCAGGCGGCCAUCGCUGUGGGGCACAGGAAGGCAGGGGCACGAGCGGAGAGGGGCAAGCGGGUCCAAGCUUGCGCCCGGACGCCAAACACACUACAACGCGCUCCUGGAGGGCUUGCUCGCCACCGCGCGCCUCCUGCGUCACAUGGCCGACGGCGGUGUCGCGAGGAACCACCGAACCAGCACACCUAAAUGCUCCUGCGUCCUUGCGUGCUGGCCGGCUUGAGUCGUGGUAUCUGAAGUAUACAAGGAAAUGGAACUAUUGCUGGAUGCACUCCAGAUAGAAAAGCCAAAGAAAUGUUACAUGAUGAGUUUGUAAUUCUGGAACGAAGAGGAUGCGAACAAACAGAUUGGGGAAGAUCCAGUUUAUUGUUGGAUCAAGAGGACGACUAACACUAUGCCGCCAUGAUGAAUAUGGUAUUACGGACUUGACCAGAAGGGUUAUGAUCAAAGAAACAUAUUUAUACCGCGAACUGAGGUUGCGUCUUGCGGGAAGAAAACUCAGUGCACAGUAUCUUGACCUGAAGAAAAAGGGCAUGCUCAGAUGGGAAGCCUACAAGGAACAUAGAGAAGACAUCCGCAAAUCAUUUGGUUUUCUUGGUCGUGCUCUUGCAAGGUAUAAGGAUCGUCGUACAAAAGCUGGCUACUUCUAUAUGUGCAAGCAUCGAAAGGUCCACAAAGUAUUCAUAAUGAGCCCGCUGUACACUAUGCCACGAAAAGGUGCGAUGAAGAAAAUAAGGCAGAUUCUUCAAAAGAGAGAAGCCUAUGACUCCAUCAUAAGCAACAAUGGUCCUCUUGGUACACAUGGAUCGAAUUUGGCGAGAUGUCUCGACUUGUUGGGCAGUAUAGGAAGACGUGGAUUGGUGCAAUUAUUG